GGCCGUAUGGCCCAAUGGCAAGGCGCUUGACUACGAUGAUUAUUGUGAUCAAGAGAUCGCAGGUUCGACCCCUGCUACGGUCA